GACAGAGGGUGCAAACGUUGUUCGGAAUUACUGGGCGUAAAGCGUGUGUAGGCGGUCCACUAAGUCGGGUGUGAAAGCCCUGGGCUCAACCCAGGAAGUGCACUCGAAACUGGCGGGCUAGAGUAUCGGAGAGGUUGGUGGAAUUCUCGGUGUAGAGGUGAAAUUCGUAGAUAUCGAGAGGAACACCUGUGGCGAAAGCGGCGCACUGGACCACAUCUGACGCUGAGGCGCGAAAGCUAGGGGAGCAAACAGG
rnacentral:rRNA from 1 species